CCGGCUUCUUCCCCCACAAUUGGCAGGAACUAGACCCCACUGAGCAGCAGGCCUGGGACGGAAGGGAGCAGGACAGAGGAAAGACCCUCGUCGCUCUCCGCACAUUACUAUGAUUUGCAUAUUGUAGGACGUGGACCCAGAUGGUGAGCAGGGAGGUGUCACCAUGCCCCAUAUCUGUGUGGCCAGCCAGCUGGACCACUGGACUCAGCCACACUCAGCUCCAGGAUCUCACAGCCGGGCCAGUCCUCCUCCACACGAGGGUGAUGUCAGCAAACCCAGGAAGCUUUCAGAGCCAAGAGAGCCUCAGACCCAGGAGCAAGCAGUUUGGGAUCUCCGUGGCCACAGGGUUCUGUGUGCACAGGAUGAGAGCAGAGGAAGGGUUCCCGCGGAAGAAUGCUGCGCAGAGGGCGUGAGAGCAGGAGGGGCUGCCCUGAGGCUAAAGGCCAUCAACCAGCCACAGCCCGCAGGGAUAUCAGCUUCUGGAAAGCGAAAUUGGUUACCAAAAAAUGGCUACCCCAUUUUUGGAGGUACUUUGGGGGCACAAGCUAAAUGAAACCAGUCAUCACUGCCCUGCCUAGAGUGAAGCCAAACACAAGGAAGGCCAACCGUCUCUCCUGGAAUUGUACCCCGGCCUGAACCUCCCAGCUUUCUCAGGAUUCACCCACAGACUCCCAAAGCCAGCUCUGGAACAAUCUACUCCACUGAACUUGAACCUCAAAACCAUGCUAGACGUCUCCCAAUGCCCUCCCUCUGCAAUGUGCCUCCUUCCUUCUGCAUCGCCAGUUAUCACUACCAAAGUGUCUACGACUGCUCAGACGUAGACAGACAACCUGAAUGUGCUCCCACGUACUCCUUCCUUCCCUUAUGGUGACGUUCUACAGUAAUUCCAUUAAAGUUACCAAUAGAAAAAUUAUUCCAAUGAGUGUAAAUAUUUAAGUUUUCAUAUACAUCUGCAUAGCUUUUGCAUUACUGACACAGCGUUGUAGAUGAUGAAGGAACGAUUUACAUUAGUGUAUUUAUCCAAAUCAGUAACUGGUCGUAUGGAACUAGGCACUGUACAAAUGGAAUAGUUGAGCAUAGAAACAGUGUCUCACUCAACGGAGUAUUUUUAUUGCCUGGUAAAAUUCCUGUUUCACUGUAGUUGAUAAAUGCUAGCUGCUGAAUCCAGGCACACAUCAUUUCUUCCAGGCCUCCAACAUCAGAAAUCCAUCAGAGAACUCUGUGAAGUUGCGUAGAAAUAAGGGCUGGUGUGUCAGUGUCUGGUAAGAAGACUACUUUGUCGGUGGAUGAAGAUCUGGAGAAACCCAGGCAAAAAAUUCAUUGUGAAUUUUCCAGUAUUGUUCAGUACCUGUAUCACCAGAUGUAUAUGAUAAGAAAGGCUCAUCAUAGGCCAGCCACUGCCUAGAAUAAGGAGACCCAGGACAGCUAAAAAAAAAAAAAAAAAAAAAAAAAAAAAAAAAACACACAGACUAACUGGAUGGGUAAGCAGCUCACAGAAUGUGAUUUUCUCCUCCACCAUUUUCUCAGAAUUGUACCCCUUUGGGAUAAAGGGGAUUCUUCUGGGGCUAAAGCUAUAUAGGCUGAGCUUCUGUGUCAUUCUGUGGGGGAGGCAAGCAUGUGUGUGCCCUAUGCAACCAUACAGGUGUCUGUGGGUACCUCCCUGCUCUACCCCUACAGCACCUGUUGAGAGAACUGGCCUAAUGCUUCUUAUAAGAAGUAUCACUGCUAUAGUUACAAUCAUCCCAGUGCCCAGCACUCUGUGUCUCUAGUAAUUGAACUGAAUGAUAACCAUAGAGAAAUGCUUAGUAAUAACAGUCCCGUAAGACAGAUGGGAAAGAAAAAUAUGGAUGGAUACAGGAAAAAUAAAAGAAGAACUGCCUUAGACUGAUAGACCUUU
rnacentral:lncRNA from 1 species